AGAGUUUGAUCAUGGCUCAGGACGAACGCUGGCGGCGUGCCUAAUACAUGCAAGUCGAGCGGACAGAAGGGAGCUUGCUCCCGGAUGUUAGCGGCGGACGGGUGAGUAACACGUGGGUAACCUGCCUGUAAGACUGGGAUAACUCCGGGAAACCGGAGCUAAUACCGGAUAGUUCCUUGAACCGCAUGGUUCAAGGAUGAAAGACGGUUUCGGCUGUCACUUACAGAUGGACCCGCGGCGCAUUAGCUAGUUGGUGGGGUAAUGGCUCACCAAGGCGACGAUGCGUAGCCGACCUGAGAGGGUGAUCGGCCACACUGGGACUGAGACACGGCCCAGACUCCUACGGGAGGCAGCAGUAGGGAAUCUUCCGCAAUGGACGAAAGUCUGACGGAGCAACGCCGCGUGAGUGAUGAAGGUUUUCGGAUCGUAAAGCUCUGUUGUUAGGGAAGAACAAGUGCGAGAGUAACUGCUCGCACCUUGACGGUACCUAACCAGAAAGCCACGGCUAACUACGUGCCAGCAGCCGCGGUAAUAC
rnacentral:rRNA from 1 species